UAGUCCACGCCGUAAACGAUGUCUACUAGCCGUUGGGAGACUUGAUUUCUUAGUGGCGCAGCUAACGCAAUAAGUAGACCGCCUGGGGAGUACGGCCGCAAGGUUAAAACUCAAAUGAAUUGACGGGGGCCCGCACAAGCGGUGGAGCAUGUGGUUUAAUUCGAUGCAACGCGAAGAACCUUACCAGGUCUUGACAUCCAGAGAACUUUCCAAAAAAGNGAUGGAUUGGUGCCUUCGGGAGCUCUGUGACAGGUGCUGCAUGGCUGUCGUCAGCUCGUGUCGUGAGAUGUCGGGUUAAGUCCCGUAACGAGCGCAACCCUUGUCCUUAGUUGCCAGCGCGUAAUGGCGGGAACUCUAAGGAGACUGCCGGUGACAAACCGGGNGGAAGGUGGGGACGACGUCAAGUCAUCAUGGGCCCUUAGACCUGGGGCUACACACGUGCUACAAUGGAACGCACAAA
rnacentral:rRNA from 1 species